rnacentral:misc_RNA from 1 species
UCUCCGUUGGUGAACCAGCGGAGGGAUCAUUACAGGACUCGCAAGACUCCUACAACCCUGUGAACUUAACUAUAAGCACGUUGCUUCGGCGGGUGUCUCGGGGGGGGUUCCCCCUCCCCGGGGCGCGAAACCCGCCGGCAGCCUACUAUACUCUGUCUCUUUGCGUUGGCAUCUCGAGUACAAUCAAACAAGUUAAAACUUUCAACAACGGAUCUCUUGGUUCUG